rnacentral:rRNA from 1 species
GCCUACGGGACGCAGCAGUGAGGAAUAUUGGUCAAUGGGCGAGAGCCUGAACCAGCCAAGUCGCGUGAAGGAUGACGGCCCUACGGGUUGUAAACUUCUUUUGUCAGGGAGCAAUUGGGUCCACGCGUGGGCUUAGCGAGAGUACCUGAAGAAAAAGCAUCGGCUAACUCCGUGCCAGCAGCCGCGGUAAUACGGAGGAUGCGAGCGUUAUCCGGAUUUAUUGGGUUUAAAGGGUGCGUAGGCUGAAUAUCAAGUCAGCGGUAAAAUCCCGGGGCUCAACCCCGGCGAGCCGUUGCAACUGGCUG